rnacentral:rRNA from 1 species
GAUGAACGCUGGCGGCGUGCCUAAUACAUGCAAGUCGAGCGAACGGACGAGAAGCUUGCUUCUCUGAUGUUAGCGGCGGUCGGGUGAGUAACACGUGGAUAACCUACCUAUAAGACUGGGAUAACUUCGGGAAACCGGAGCUAAUACCGGAUGAUAUUUUGAACCGCAUGGUUCAAAAGUGAAAGACGGUCUUGCUGUCACUUAUAGAUGGAUCAGCGCUGCAUUAGCUAGUUGGUAAGGUAACGGCUUACCAAGGCAACGAUGCAUAGCCGACCUGAGAGGGUGAUCGGCCACACUGGAACUGAGACACGGUCCAGACUCCUACGGGAGGCAGCAGUAGGGAAUCUUCCGCAAUGGGCGAAAGCCUGACGGAGCAACGCCGCGUGAGUGAUGAAGGUCUUCGGAUCGUAAAACUCUGUUAUUAGGGAAGAACAUAUGUGUAAGUAACUGUGCACAUCUUGACGGUACCUAAUCAGAAAGCCACGGCUAACUACGUG